GCACCCGUAGCUCAACUGGAUAGAGUAUCUGGCUUCGAACCAGACGGUUGCAGGUUCAAAUCCUGCCGGGUGCACCA
rnacentral:tRNA from 1 species